rnacentral:lncRNA from 1 species
AGAAGAAGAAGGAGCUGGAUGCUGAGGUUCACCGCAAAUAUAUCUUUUGUGGACAUGUUGCUAACUAUAUCAAGAUCCUGAUCAAAGAUGAACCUGAGAAAUAUCAGACACACUUUAGUGAAUAUAUCAAGCUGCAAAGAAGUCAGCGAAGCAGACACAGAGCAAUACAUACAGAAUGCAACACAACACAGAUUUGCAUACAUUUGCAACAGAGACGAGAUUAUGUAACACAGAGAAAACAGACCAGAUUACACAGAAACAGAGUGACAUACACAAGCAUACUUAGAUCCAUACAUAUCAUUUUUUCAGACCACAAACACAUCGAUCAGAGAGAAGGCACACCAAUAUCACACACAGAUCACUACGCAAACAAUAAGCAAAUCAUAAUAGGAUCAAUCACAUAAUGAAUUCAGAAAAGAAGAGUCAGUUGGAGGUUACAAACUAAUGCAUAAGCAGUAACAGUCAACCAGAAUUCAUCACAUAUUCCCUUGAUUUACAACACAUUAUUUUCGGACAGUUAUGAAAUUAAGGGGAUAUAAUAUAGUCAGACAGAUUUUUUUGAGGAGGAUAUCAGGGACAAUUAAACAAACGCAAACCAGAAGGCACAUUGGUUUCAGUUACACAAUCAACCUAAUUGCAGCAGUAAAGGGCAAUCAUAGAGCAGAAUUCUUGCAAGUUACUGAAUCAAAGUUGGCAGCCUAGGGGUCUACCUUAAAACAGUAUAAAAGGGGGGCACUCAGUCAAAAAGAAGAGGAGAAAAUACAGAGAAGAAGAGAGCAUAGAAGAAAUACAUAUCACAUAACAUAGCAUAUAACACGCACACAGAGAGAGGGGCAGAGGAAGAGAUUACAUAGGGGAGUCAGUAAAAUUCAGAGAAGAGAGAUAGGGUUAUAUUUCACAGGCAUCAUAAAUCAAGAGGACGGUGACAUAUACGUCAUACAAGAACACAGGGUAUAUACUCAGGUAAGCAUUCAAACUGUCAAAAUGUGUUUCAUGAGCAUACUUUGCUUUAUAUGGCUUAUGCAUUAAACCUAUAGGAGUAAUUCAUAACUGUUUCUAAUCGAUCAUUCCACAUAAACACAUAUACAUAUAAUGGACUGGAAUAAAAAAAACAUGAUUGAAAUUUGUUUUAGUCUAUAGGUUUCCACCAUUUAAGGAUUAGGCAAAAUUUCAAUAGCGAAAGGGAUUAUUCCCUUGUCAUUACUAAUCUGGAACCUAAUUGAAUCUCAUACAACGGGUGAGGGUUCAUGAGAAAUAAGGAGAGUAAUUACCUCUCCCCCGAUUUGUUAUGAAUAACCACCGAAGGAAGACGCCCUGGCUCUAUCAACGUAGCAUAUAUCCUCGGUACUCUUUGAUCUGUUUUGGCUCAGCCAUGAAUGACUCUGGAUUAUCAUUCUGUAAAGGUCAAUUAAAAUGGUAUGAGUUCAUGAAAAAAAUAGAAAACCAAGAAUCAAUAGAAGGCAGUGAAUUGAUAAAAAUAAUAAUAAAGCAAUGGUUACCGGAUUCGGAACCACCAUAACCCAUCGGAGGGAGGCUGAGCCGUCGUGAACCACCCGAUUCAAAUUCGGGGUAGUGGCUUUGAGACCACAGCGUAGCCGAGAAGCCUUAGAGUGUUGACAUUAUUGUCUUCCUCCAUCAAUUUAAAGCCGA